rnacentral:rRNA from 1 species
UACGUAGGGGGCAAGCGUUGUCCGGAAUCAUUGGGCGUAAAGAGCGUGUAGGCGGCCCGAUAAGUCCGCUGUGAAAGCCCAGGGCUCAACCCUGGAACUGCCUUUAAUACUGCUGGUCUGGAGUCCGAGAGAGGUGAGUGGAAUUCCGAGUGUAGAGGUGAAAUUCGUAGAUAUUCGGAGGAACACCAGUGGCGAAGGCGGCUCACUGGCUCGGUACUGACGCUGAGGUGCGAAAGCGUGGGAGCAAACAGG